rnacentral:lncRNA from 1 species
CCAAAGUGCAAAACUGCCAACUUCUCUAAUCCAAGCCAGGUGAGAACUUCAGGUUUUCCCUUCAUUCCUAAUAAGGGCUUUGAGACAAUGAAAAGUUUCGUUCCCUGUAGUCAUGGCAGACCACUGAGCUACUGCUAAGCAAACACAGGAACGUGUGCAUCAGUCUCAUUUUUACCACCUGGCACAUGUGAAAAGCAAGCAUCAAUCCUUGCUUAUCACAGGAACAACUGGAGCAUGUAUGGCAAGAAUAUAUUGGUGUCCUUUUAGGAAAUACCUCUUUAGCUGAAAAAGGUGGCAGGGAGCCCAGUGGCUCGCUGGCUGUGGCUCAAAUAAAAGCAGUGCUGUACAGAAGGCAGAUCAUCCCCCUGUUGAAUGGAGAGCACACUAUCUGCUGUACACAGUCAGCAAGGAAAUGCCACAAACCUCCAGUGACUGCAUUUUAUGGGAUUGACCUGUGGUGGACUCCACUGUGUUUACUGCCAAUUUGGGAUGAUGCAUUGCUGCACAGUGCUACCAAUAAAUGGGAGGUUUGAGGUAGCAGGAAAAGAACAGGUUGAGGGCUGGGUUUUGGAAGGGGAAGAAGAGAGUUCUGUGUGUUGUUCAAAUACUGCUUCAGGUGUCAGUUUGGCAGAAUGGAACCUGACCGCAAUACACUGCAGGUGCAGCUUAUGGUGCAAAGGCCAUAGAACGUGCAGCAUCUGAUGCGUGACCAUCCUAGACACACCUGUGCACGUGCAAUCCCAAGGCCAGAUCCUGAGCUGCAAUCAGCUCCACUGCCAGGACUACACCAGUGGACGGUGGCUCGAGGGCAUCAGAGUGGAUAGGUGAGGUUCAAAGCAAGGGAGGCUUCAACUUCAAGCACACGACUCUGCUACUGAUUUACCUGAGCUCAGACUUUUUCAAAAGUUGUCUACGCACCUCAGCAACUGAGUCUAGUAAAAGCCAAGAUGAGCUGAAUUUCGGUGUGUGUUCUUCCCUCUGAAGAUUAAGACACCUGGGUAUAAUUUUGCACUAGGUGCAGUAGAAGUAAAGUGUAUAGGUUGUGUUCUCUAAUGUCGUGGUGUAUAGUAAGAAUAGCUUGAACUCUGUUACUUGGUAUUUAAGUCAGGAGGAGAGCAGGAUCUGGCCCUUUAGACUUGAUUUGCAAUGUGGGUGCUAUUAAAGUUUUACUUGAAAAAAGAUGAACUACAAUCUGUCAUUUAAUCUGAAGAGUCCCUGCAGCACUGAGAUUCAGAUAAGAACCAAUUAAUG